UCCAAGCGCUUUCCGCUCACCCUAUCACCUCACCUUUACAAUGUCUGUCCACAGCAUCCUCUUCUCCUCCGAGCACGUGACGGAGGGCCAUCCAGACAAGUUGUGCGAUCAGGUAUCCGACGCCGUGCUUGACGCGUGCCUCGCCGGCGACCCGUUCUCGAAGGUUGCGUGCGAGUCGUGCGCGAAGACGGGCAUGGUGAUGGUGUUCGGCGAGAUCACGACGAAGGCAGUGCUAGACUACCAGAAGAUCGUCCGCAACACGAUCAAGGACAUUGGCUUCGAUUCCGCGGACAAGGGCCUGGACUAUGAGUCGUGCAAUGUGCUGGUUGCGAUUGAGCAGCAGUCGCCGGACAUCUGCCAGGGUCUGGGCAACUUCGAUAGCGAGGAUCUCGGCGCUGGCGACCAGGGCAUGAUGUUUGGCUACGCGACGGACGAGACGGAGACGCUGAUGCCGCUGACGUACGAGCUGGCCCGCGGCCUUGCGAAGAAGUACAGCGAGCUUCGCCGCGACGGCAGCCUGGAGUGGGCUCGCCCGGACGCGAAGACGCAGGUGACGGUGGAGUACGACUACGACACGCGCGAGGGCAAGCAGGUGCUGACGCCGAAGCGCGUGGCGGUGGUGCUGAUCUCUGCGCAGCACGACGAGCACGUGACGAACGAUAAGAUCAGCGUGGAUCUGAUGGAGAAGGUGAUCAAAGCUGUGAUCCCCGCGAACAUGCUGGACGCGGAGACGAAGUACUGGCUGAACCCGUCUGGCCGCUUCGUGCGCGGUGGGCCGCAUGGCGACGCCGGUCUGACUGGCCGCAAGAUCAUCGUAGACACGUACGGCGGCUGGGGCGCGCACGGCGGUGGCGCCUUCUCCGGCAAGGACCCUUCGAAGGUGGACCGCUCCGCCGCGUACGCCGCGCGCUGGAUCGCGAAGUCGAUCGUUGCGGGCGGCCUGGCGCGCCGCUGCCUUGUGCAGCUCGCGUACGCCAUCGGUGUAGCGGAGCCGCUGAGCAUGCACGUGGAGACGUACGGCACCGGCAAGUACGAUGACGCGAAGCUGCUGGAGAUCGUGAAGCAGAACUUCAAGCUGCGCCCGUACGACAUCAUCCAGGAGCUGAACCUGCGCCGCCCCAUCUACUACGAUACGUCGCGCUUCGGCCACUUCGGCCGUAAGGACGAGUUGGGCACGGGCGGGUUCACUUGGGAGGUGCCCAAGAAGAUGGUCGAGUAAGCGAAGUGCUUGCACAGGGGCGCGUUUCCGUGCAGGCGUACCGAGUGCGACGCACACCCCCUUCUAUCCCGCUGAACGGCUCAGCUCCCUUCUCAUCGACUGCGAGGUGUGCCGCUACUCAUGCAACCUCACUUCCCGGCAUAGUGCAGCGCUAUAAGGAGCUGCUGCCACGGCGUCACAUCUCCCAUCAUCAUUCAUUCCCCCACCCCCUUUCGGGCCUUUCCCUCUGUGUGCUUUUCUCCGCGCUGAUCAUGUUGGGUAACAGACGUGUGAUGCGUUUUUGUUUUCUCUUCUACGUCCACUUGUUAAUCUGGUUUCAGCGUUUGUGUGUCUGCGCGUUUGUGCACUCUUUCUGUUUUCAUCUCCCGUGUUUCCGCCUUCCCUCCCCCUUUUUUUUUCUUGCGUGUUUCCGUUAAAAUAGCCCGACCGACGAUGUGAAGAGCCCCUACACCACAUUGUGGAAUGCCGCGGCUUGAUGCGACUGCGGGGGAAAGAUGGCACCUAUGCCGAGUGCAGGGCCUCAGAGGGCCCUGCCCUGAGGCUGGCCAACCUCCUCCCUGAGUCCAUUCGGCAUGCACCUGGACCGCCCUCUGUUACCCGCGCGACGGACGCCACCGCUUUCGCCCUCGAGCCGGACCCUGGACGCAGCCCGCAUUGGAUAAUCGAGGCGUGCAGCUCAGCCAGGCCCGAGUGGCGCCAACCGCGCGGCACGUACCCGAAGAGGGGACGAGGCGGGAGAGGAGGGGCCCCGCUAGACGCAUGUCCCGAUUCGACGGCAUGACGGUUGCUCCUAGACGGCCAGGACGUCGCCGCAGCGCGGCAGUGGGCGCGUGGGCUGCAACUGUGCAUGCGUGUGCCUUUGCUGGCUUGCGCGUGGUUUAAUGGCACGUUGUAGCGUAGAGGCGUGAAAUGACUGAUGCGUUUCUGUCUAAGUGCGUGUCAGGUGCUCUCGAUGCUCUCAGUGCUCUCAGUGAAUGGCGCGCUGUCGACAGGGGGGGGUGCCGUCAAACAUACUUUACGGCGGUCAUGGGCCCUCAGGUAAAAGCGACGCUCUUGUUUUGUGUUUUUUUUUUGAGGAUGUUGGUUUGCUUAGAAGCGCGCUGUGUACUUGAUGCAGUGUUAGGCCUCCAACUCUGUAGUGCUUUCUCAACUUUAGUCUGAAUAUGGCUUGCGCACAUGACGGUGGGUGCGCUAAUGGGAUAUGCUAAGAGGAACG
rnacentral:misc_RNA from 1 species